rnacentral:rRNA from 1 species
AGAGUUUGAUCCUGGCUCAGAACGUACGCUGGCGGCACGCCUAACACAUGCAAGUCGAACGAAGUAGCAAUACUUAGUGGCAAACGGGUGAGUAACAUGUGGGUAUCUGCCCUUCGGCCUGGAAUAACACGGGGAAACUUGUGCUAAUACCGGAUAAGUCUUUUAAGAGAAAGCUUUAUGCACCGAUGGAUGAGCCCGCACCUGAUUAGUUAGUUGGUGAGGUAAUAGCUCACCAAGACAAUGAUCAGUAGCUGAUUUGAGAGGAUGGUCAGCCACAUUGGGACUGAGACACGGCCCAAACUCCUACGGGAGGCAGCAGUGGGGAAUCUUGCACAAUGGGGGAAACCCUGAUGCAGCGAUGCCGCGUGAGUGAAGAAGGCCUUUGGGUUGUAAAGCUCUUUCGUCGGGGAAGAAAAUGACUGUACCCGAAUAAGAAGGUCCGGCUAACUUCGUGCCAGCAGCCGCGGUAAUACGAAGGGACCUAGCGUAGUUCGGAAUUACUGGGCUUAAAGAGUUCGUAGGUGGUUAAAAUAGUUGGUGGUGAAAUCCCAGAGCUUAACUCUGGAACUGCCAUCAAAACUUUUUAGCUAGAGUAUGAUAGAGGAAAGUAGAAUUUCUAGUGUAGAGGUGAAAUUCGUAGAUAUUAGAAAGAAUACCAAUUGCGAAGGCAGCUUUCUGGAUCAUUACUGACACUGAGGAACGAAAGCAUGGGUAGCGAAGAGGAUUAGAUACCCUCGUAGUCCAUGCCGUAAACGAUGUGUGCUAGACGUUGGAAAUUUAAUUUUCAGUGUCGCAGCAAAAGCGAUAAGCACACCGCCUGGGGAGUACGACCGCAAGGUUAAAACUCAAAUGAAUUGACGGGGACCCGCACAAGUAGUGGAGCAUGUGGUUUAAUUCGAAGAUACGCGCAGAACCUUACCAACACUUGACAUGUUUGUCGCAACUCUAAGAAAUUAGAGUUUUCGGUUCGGCCGGACAAAACACAGGUGCUGCAUGGCUGUCGUCAGCUCGUGUCGUGAGAUGUUGGGUUAAGUCCCGCAACGAGCGCAACCCUCACUUUUAGUUGCUACCAUUUAGUUGGGCACUCUAAAAGAACUGCCAGUGAUAAGCUGGAGGAAGGUGGGGAUGACGUCAAGUCCUCAUGGCCCUUAUGUGUUGGGCUACACACGUGCUACAAUGGCAUCUACAACAGGAAGCAAGAAUGUGAAUUUAAGCAAAUCCUUAAAAGAUGCCUCAGUUCGGAUUGUACUCUGCAACUCGAGUACAUGAAGCUGGAAUUACUAGUAAUCGCGGAUCAGCGUGCCGCGGUGAAUACGUUCCCGGGUCUUGUACACACCGCCCGUCACACCAUGGGAGUUGGUUCUACCUUAAGGCAAAAUGUUAACCUUCGGGAAGCAUUUGACCACGGUAUAGUCAGCGACUGGGGUGAAGUCGUAACAAGGUAACC